rnacentral:rRNA from 1 species
AUUGAACUCUGGCGGCAGGCUUAACACAUGCAAGUCGAGCGGAGAUGAGGUGCUUGCACCUUAUCUUAGCGGCGGACGGGUGAGUAAUGCUUAGGAAUCUGCCUAUUAGUGGGGGACAACAUUCCGAAAGGAAUGCUAAUACCGCAUACGCCCUACGGGGGAAAGCAGGGGAUCUUCGGACCUUGCGCUAAUAGAUGAGCCUAGGUCGGAUUAGCUAGUUGGUGGGGUAAAGGCCUACCAAGGCGACGAUCUGUAGCGGGUCUGAGAGGAUGAUCCGCCACACUGGGACUGGGACACGGCCCGGACUCCGACGGGAGGCAGCAGUGGGGAAUAUUGGACAAUGGGCGGAAGCCUGAUCCAGCCAUGCCGGGUGUGUGAAGAAGGCCUUUUGGUUGUAAAGCACUUUAAGCGAGGAGGAGGCUACCUGGAUUAAUACUCUAGGAUAGUGGACGUUACUCGCAGAAUAAGCACCGGCUAACUCUGUGCCAGCCGCCGCGGUAACAC